AUUGAACGCUGGCGGCAUGCGUAACACAUGCAAGUCGAACGGUUCCUGGUGCUUGCACCGGAGAUAGUGGCGGACGGGUGAGUAAUACGUAGGAAUCUGUCUUAGAGAGGGGGACAACCUGAGGAAACUUAGGCUAAAACCGCAUAAACUCGGAAGAGAAAAGCAGGGGACCGGAAACGGCCUUGUGCUCUAAGGUGAGCCUACGUCGGAUUAGCUAGUUGGUGGGGUAAAGGCCUACCAAGGCGAUGAUCUGUAGCUGGUCUGAGAGGACGGACAGCCACACUGGGACUGAGACACGGCCCAGACUCCUACGGGAGGCAGCAGUGGGGAAUAUUGGACAAUGGGGGGAACCCUGAUCCAGCGAUGCCGCGUGUGUGAAGAAGGCCUGCGGGUUGUAAAGCACUUUCAGUUGGAAAGAGAAGCGAGAUGAGAAUAUUGUUUCGUGGAGACGUUACUAACAGAAGAAGCACCGGCUAACUCUGUGCCAGCCGCCGCGGUAA
rnacentral:rRNA from 1 species